CAUGCUCAUAAAAUUCCAGCACAGUCAAGCAUGAUGGGGCCAUCUGCCACUUGCACAGUGAAACCUCACUUUAUAGCCCUCAGCUGCAGUGGGCUCCCCUUCCUCGUGACUGGCUCUGGAACCGGUUGUGCAAGGAGGCCAAUCCCCGCCCCUGCUGGCCCCACAGACCACUGGACCGUGGCCGCUGGCCUCUGCUGCGGGGACUCCCAGCCUCCUGGCCAAGGGCAGCCGUUCUCUAGACGGGCCUUCCCCACAGAGUCCAAGCCCUGAGUGGCUGCAGCCGGUGGACAGGAAGAUGGAUUACACUCGUCUAGUUCGCCCUUAGCUCACCCGUGAUUAUAAUUACGUUAAAUUGCUAUUUAAUGGGGUACACAUCAUCUUCUGACAAAUCAAUACUAAGGAGACUUCUGGUCAAGAUGGCAGCUUAGAAGCAGCAAAAGUUCAGACCUCUGAAAACCCUUCCUUACCGAUCACAAACUGAAUGCUCCUAGGGGACUAAAAUUCAAACUUAAAACAGGACAGAGCUGGGGAACCCUCCUUCUGGACUCAAAUCAAAAGGUAUGCCCCGCAAAAGCCAGAAUCCUAGAUCACUUGGGUCUAAGGGGAAGGCAGAAGGAAGGUCCCAGGACCCCUCCCCCCCAACCCAGAGCGCUAAGCCUGCAGCAGCAGUGGGAAACUCAGGGCUGGCAAAAGUGCUAUUCUGAAGGGCUCAUCUUGAAAGCAACCUGGGCCAGUCUUGGGGCAUCCAACACAGACGCCAGGGAAGCAGCCUGAGAGAUGGGGGGAGCCUGUAGCCCCUUGGCUGGGUCCUUCCAUCGGAGUCUCACUGGAGGUUUUUGCCUCAGGGCACGUCCAGACCAACCCAGCUGAACCUAAUCCCAUCAGGAGCCCUCAGAGCUCAAGGAGGCCAGGACCUCUCCCCCCUUAGAGUGCAGGGCCCUCUGAAAGGACAGGAACCUCAGAGCCGGCAAAGGCACUGAGGUACCUUGCGGACAGUGCUGUGCCAGGCUCAGAGUGUGGAAGUAAGGCAGCGGAGCAGCAACACCCAAAAUGCUGGCAGGCAGGGGAAGGCAGACCCUUGGCUUCCCCGGGAAGAAAGCGCAGCUGCGGAGAACGGACAAUUUGCCUGGGGCUAAAGCCUCGGCCCAUCAGACAGAUACACCAAGAGCCAGUCCUCACUCAGAUUUCUGACUGGAAAGGGGAAGAAAAACCAUAGAGAUGGCAAACAGUACAGAAGUGCAAAAGCCUCCAAACACCAAGAAAAGCAAGAAGAAGGGGGUGACUUUGGACACAUUUUAUGGAGCAAAAAUACAAAAUACAGAGGAGAUAGAAGAGGAAACACAAACAAAUGCUCCAAAACCUUCCAAAGGAAAUGGAAAUUCUCCACAAACUCUUGAAGAAUUUAAAUCAGAAAUUAACAAAAAGAUGGAAGCCUUCUGCCAGGAAAAGUGGGAAAUAAUGCAAAAGGAAUUAAAUCACAAAAAAACGCAACCACAGAAGCAACUUGACCAAACUGAAAAGGAAAACCAGUCUUUAAAGGUCAGAAUCAGGCAACUGGAAGACAAUGCUCUUGCAAAAGAGCAAGAAUUAAUAAAGCAAAGUCAAAAGACUAAAGAAUUAGAAGAUAACAUAAAAUAUCUCACUGAUAAGAUCCAAUAUUGGUUCCAAGGCAGGAGAGAAAGGGCUAGACCAUGAGGACUAAGUAACUUGUCCAGGAUCAUUCCACUAGGAAGUGUCAGAGGCCACAUUUGAACCUAGGACCUCCUGUCUCUCAAUCCACUGAACCACCUAGCUGCCCCUGUCCUGCCCUUCUCCUAGAAGUCUAGAGGAAAAGGUACAGGCCAUAGAAUCAUAAAUUUAGAUCUGGGAAAGAUCUUCUAAGUUAUAUCUAAACCCUUCACUUUACAGAGGAGGAAAUUGAGGCAGAGAAUGAUUAAAGGACUUGCCCAGUGUAACAGCUAAUAAAUAUCUGAUGUGGAAUUUGAAUCCAGAUGUUUGUGAGAGUGCCCUGGUCAGUCCAUUAUCCUUUUUCUUGUUCUUUUCUAAUUUUCUGAGAUGAAGGAAUGUUGGAGAACAGAACUCUGUCAACCAGGGAGAAGGAACUAAUCUCCAGAAGGCUGGGACAGAGGGAGCAGGGGAAGGGAGUACAAGCUCUUUUGGAGAACCCUAAGAAACUAUGACUACACUCUGUUUUCCCAUUUAGGCUCUGAACCAGCCUCACCAGAUUGGGGAGAGAAUUUUCCUGAAGCAGCCAGUCUCUAGGUGAUUUUCCAGGGUGAAAGUCACUUUUCAGACCCAAAUUUUUUGAUCCCAUUUUUUGUUUUGUUGUGUCUUGAAAGGAAAAGAUAUUUACUAAAGCCUCCUGAAAUGUUCCAAUCCAAACAUUCCCUCACCUUUCUGGAAUUUCAUUUAUUCUGAAGACUAGCUCUGAAAAACAAGGACUGCCUGAAUUUUCCAGAUACUUGGAGUUUCCUUUCCCUCCUUUUUUCUGUGUACCAAGUAGUCACUUCUGACAGCAAUAAAUCAUUUCUUUUGGGUGCCAUUUCCUUAACUCCAUAAAGCUCUUGCUUGAAUCUUGGGCUCCUAGGAGGGUAGAGCUGUAAGGGCCCUUUGGGGUCAUCCCAUGUUUGCUGCUGCUUACCAUUUGUGUGACCUUGGACAAGGACCCUUCUCUGGGCCUUAGUUUGUAAACUGUAUGUUUCUUCUUAUGAGAGAAGUCGGCCCCUUUAAGAGUGGACUGUCUGUAGCUGAAACCAGGCUCUAAAACUGUGGGAGAUCUGUCUAUAGCAAUUAUCAAGGAGAACAAUUAUAUACAGAUGGAGAGGAAGUAUCAGAAAAGAGGAGGGGGAGCUUACAAGGAAUUAGUAAAGCAGCUCCACAAAUUGCAGCCAGUAGGAAAAAAAAAUGGCCAUCAUAGGUUUUGAUGGAAGCCUGAGGCAUCCCACUGAGAGCUUCUUCCCUCUAUAGAUACAAGACAAGGAAGCCAGAGGGUGGACCUAGAGACUUUGGAGUGUUAACAUGUGUGUUUAUUUUUUUAAGUGUAUUUCACUUUAAAAUUAUGAUUUUACUAACUCGACACACUUGGGCAUAACUGUGCCAUGUUCAAUAUGUACUUCUGACCAUUAAGAAAUCCAGUAGUCAUGGUACAUCAAUGGAAAGAGUUCUUUUUGAGGAAUCAGAAGAGAAGGGCUCUAAUCCCACCUGAUAUUUACCAUGUGUAUGGCUUUUGGCAAAUCACUAACUCUAUGGGAAUCAGUUUCCUCAUCAGCAAAAUGAAAGGGUUGAAUUAGACAGCCUCUGAAAUCCCUUCCAACUCUAGUCCUAAAAUCUAUAAUCUAUUCAUUUUUACAGGUAAGGAAACCAAGGUUCAGAGAAAGAAAGUAACUUAAAUGAAGAGGCAUAAAUGCUAGGGGCAAAACUAGAACCCAGUUCUUUACAUCACACCCAAUCUAGCAACAACCUCCAUUUUCAGUCUUAUUUCUCAAAACCCCAAACAGAAAAUAUCCACUCUAGUAAGAUUGAUCUCCUUCUACUAGUUCAACAAACAUUGAUUAAAUAUCUACUCUUUGGCAAGCACCAAGUUAUGGGCAAAGGACACAAAGAUUUUAAAAAGUCCCUAUAGUCAAGGAACUUGCAUGUUGCUGGGUGAAGCACUGUCUGUGAACAUACCUUGAUCAAUGCUUUUACCUCCCGGGUUUUACUCGGGUUGUACACAGCCACCUUUCAUUCUCUCUCCUUUCCCUUUUCUCUUUAAGAAUCCUGUACAUACAUUCAAAAUAACUGUAGACAAAAUAAAACCUGGGAGUCUACCUGCCAAGACAAACUCAGAAAUUAUAUGAACACAACUGUGAAACAUUUUUCACACAAAUAAAGUCUUAUCUAAAGAACUGGAGAAAAUAAGGGGCAGCUAGGUGGUUUGGGGGACUGAGAACCAAGUCCAGAGAGGGGAGAUCCUAGGUUCACAUCUAAUCUCAAGAUACUUCCUAGCUGUGUGACCCUGGGCAAGUCACUUAACCCCCAUUGCCUAGCCCUUACUGCUCUUCUGCCUUAGAACCAAUACACGGUAUUGAUAGAAGAUAAGGAAUUGGAAAAAAUAUUAAUUGCUCACGGGCAGGCUGAACCAAUACAAUAAAAGUGACAAGUUUACCCAAAUUACAGAAUCCUGUACAUCCCAGCUCAAGCGCAACCUUCUCUGUGAACCUCUCUGACCACCUCAGCUCAUCAUUAUCUCUCCAUAUCUUCUAGAGCAUUAACUUUCUAUUGAUCUUUGAGUCAGGCAGACAUGAGUUGAAAUCCCAUCUCAGAUAUUUUCUGCCCGUGUCCUUGACUUCUCUGCACCUCAGUUUCUCUGAUUGUAAGUAAAAUGGGGUUAAAAAAACCCAUUACUUUGCAGGAUUAUUGUAAUGAUCAAAUGAAAUAAUGUGUGCAAAGUGUUUUCCAAACUCUAAAGUGCUAUGUAAAUGUGAGCUACAUUUAGCAUUUAUGUGAGGAAACUGCUGUAUAAUUUUAAGAAAAAAGUUUUCUGUUAUAUUUAUGUGCAUUUUAAAGUGCUCAAAGGAAAGUCCUCUUUUAGAACAGAGUGUCAAAAGCAGGAAUGAACUAACACCAUUUAACUGUAGUUAAUAGGUGAUCUAUACAGGACAAAUAUGUAGAGGGAGGAGGGAAAGCAGUGAGUAGUGUGAAAGCCUGGUUGCCAGAGUAAACUCUCUUCAAAUUGGAAAAAAAGUAGUCACUGUGAAAGGAAACUUAGAAUGUGAUUCCAAUGUUUCUCUGUUUGGCUCAAAGAGAGACAGGACACAUGGACUUGGUGGGUGGGGAUUGAGGAGAAAGGGACAAGCUGCUGAGUGGUGGGAGCUAAAUCUAUGCAACAGCCAAGUUUCUUCUUGGAAGGAUUGAAUUAGCAAGAGAAGGACAGAGAGAAAGCAGAGAAAGCCACAAUUAAAGGCUUUUUAACCUGACCUACUACAGUCUAAGGUGAUGAAAGUUUUAACAUUGAAAGAUUACUGAAUUGCUGUCAAUAAUCUUUGAAAAAGACAGAAGGAAAAAUGGCCAGAUUUUCAAAAGAAGAAAAAAAAAGGAUGGAGUCUGCAAAUUAUAGUGUGUGUGUGUAAUUUUUAUUCCUGGCCAAGUUGUAUAGCAUAUUAUUAGAGGGAUGGUUUGUGAGCAUUUAGAAAGAGAGGCAGUGAUUAUUUAAAAGUCAGCAUGGUUUCAUGGUUAGUCAGACUAACCUCAUUUCCUUUUUGGAUAGGGUAACCCUGAUUUGGAGAUCAGGAUAUUUGGAGAUCAGGAUAGCAUUGCAGACAUAGCAAAAUUAGAUUUCGACCAAAUAUUUGACAGUCUCUCAUGUUAUGCUUAUAGAAAAGGUGAAGAGAUUUGGGCUAAAUAGUAUAGUAUUGGUUGAAUGACAAGACCCAUUAAUUAGUCACUAUCAACUUGGAAAUCUCUAGGGGAGUAUCCCAGGGCAACUAGGAGGUACUGUAGAUAAAGUUCUGGGUCUGGAGUCAGGAAAAUUCAUCCACUUGAGUUCAAAUCCAACCUCAGACUCUUUUAGCUGUGUGACCCUAGGCAAGUCACUUUACCCCCAUUGGCUUCAGUGUCCUCAACUGGAAAAUGAACUGGAGAAGGAAAUGGCAAACAACUCUAGUAUCUUUGCCAAGAAAACUGCAAUUGGAGUCACAAAGAGUCUGACAAAAUUGAAAAGGGGCUAACUAAAAAAUUAACAAUAGUUAAUAUUUACAUAGUAUUUUAAGCUUUGCAAUGAACCUUACCAUAAUACAAAUUAUGGCAAUAUUAUCAUGAAAUAGUGCAAAAUUAGGAAUAGAUAAAGGUAAUGAAUAUGGAUCAGGACUAAAAAGAGAAUAAAGACUUGUAGACUAUACAAAA